GAACAGUAAAUGCUGAGUGAGGUGUAUUUUUGGUUUUUGUUGUUGUUAUUUUUAUCCUGAAGCUCCAAUAAUGUACCAAAUAGAAGACUCAUAAUAUGUACAGAAUCUCUGGAGAACAGGCCCUGACAACAUACUUUGGAAAGCUCUUCAGGUGAUUCUGCACCAUAGCCAAGGAUAUGAACCACUGAUGGAAAAGCCUGAGACUACAUGAACACUCAGUAAAGAAGCUGAUGGCAGCUGGAUUAGUGAUGUGCCCAUCUCACUUUCUCUCAGAUGUGUCCAGCUCUUCGUGAUCCCAUGGACUGCAGCCUGCCAGGCUACUCUGUCCAUGCAAUUCUUCAGGCGAGAAUACGGGAGUGGGUUGCCAUGACCUCCUCCAGGGGAUCUUCCCAACCCAAGGAUCGAACCUGCAUCUCUGGCAUCUCCUGUAUUGGCAGCAACAUGGAUGGAUGUAGAAGCUGUCAUACUGAGUGAAGUACGUCAGACACAGAAAGACAAGUGUCGUAUGAUACCACUUAUCUGUGUAAUCUAAAACAAAGGAUACAAACAAACUUAUUUACAGAGCAGAAGGAGAGUCACAGAUGUAGGAAACAAAGUUUUGGUUACUACAAGCUAAAGAAAACAGAAGAUCGAGACAGGCUAAGUGAAGAUCACAAAGCCAGUCAAUGUGGAGCUGAAUCUGAGACUGAGGACUUCUAAUGCUUGGUUCAAAGAGCAAGCAGGAGAUAAAAUAGUAGCGUACUGGAUUCAUUAAAU
ensembl:lncRNA